rnacentral:piRNA from 1 species
UGGCCGAGAUCAUCUGGCAGAACCGGC